rnacentral:rRNA from 1 species
AACGAACGCUGGCGGCAUGCCUAACACAUGCAAGUCGAACGAGACCUUCUGGUCUAGUGGCGCACGGGUGCGUAACGCGGGGGAACCUGCCCUUAGGUUCGGAAUAACUCCCCGAAAGGGGUGCUAAUACCGGCUAAUGUCUUCGGACCAAAGAUUUAUCGCCUUUGGAUGGGCCCGCGUUGGAUUAGCUAGUUGGUAGGGUAAAAGCCUACAAAGGCGACGAUCCAUAGCUGGUCUGAGAGGAUGAUCAGCCACACUGGGACUGAGACACGGCCCAGACUCCUACGGGAGGGAGCAGUGGGGAAUAUUGGACAAUGGGCGAAAGCCUGAUCCAGCAGUGCCGCGUGAGUGAUGAAGGCCUUAGUGUUGUAAAGCUCUUUUACCCGGGAUGAUAAUGACAGUACCGGGAGAAUAAGCUCCGGCUAACUCCGUG